rnacentral:rRNA from 1 species
CAGCCGCCGCGGUAAUACCGGCGGCCCGAGUGGCGGUCACUAUUAUUGGGCUUAAAGCGUCCGUAGCCGGGUUGGGAAGUCCUCCGGGAAAUCUGGCCGCUUAAAGGUCAGAAUGCCGGAGGAUACUCCCAGCCUAGGGAGCGGGGGAGGCCGAGGGGAUUCCCGGAGUAGGGGUGGAAUCCUAUAAUCCCGGGAGGACCACCUGUGGCGAAGGCGCUCGGCUGGAACGCGUCCGACGGUGAGGGACGAAGGCCAGGGGAGCAAACCGGAUUAGAUACCCGGGUAGUCCUGGCUGUAAACGAUGCGGACGUUGUGUCGGACAAGCUAUGAGCUUGUCCGGUGCCGGAGGGAAACCGUUAAGUCCGCCGCCUGGGGAGUACGGCCGCAAGGCUGAAACUUAAAGGAAUUGGCGGG